AUGCAAGUCGAGCGGUAACAGAUUGAUAGCUUGCUAUCAAUGCUGACGAGCGGCGGACGGGUGAGUAAUGCCUGGGAAUAUGCCCUGAUGUGGGGGAUAACUAUUGGAAACGAUAGCUAAUACCGCAUAAUCUCUUCGGAGCAAAGAGGGGGACCUUCGGGCCUCUCGCGUCAGGAUUAGCCCAGGUGGGAUUAGCUUGUUGGUGGGGUAAUGGCUCACCAAGGCGACGAUCCCUAGCUGGUCUGAGAGGAUGAUCAGCCACACUGGAACUGAGACACGGUCCAGACUCCUACGGGAGGCAGCAGUGGGGAAUAUUGCACAAUGGGGGAAACCCUGAUGCAGCCAUGCCGCGUGUAUGAAGAAGGCCUUCGGGUUGUAAAGUACUUUCAGUUGUGAGGAAGGCAGUAAAGUUAAUAGCUUUAUUGUUUGACGUUAGCAACAGAAGAAGCACCGGCUAACUCCGUGCCAGCAGCCGCGGUAAUACGGAGGGUGCGAGCGUUAAUCGGAAUUACUGGGCGUAAAGCGCAUGCAGGUGGUCUGUUAAGCAAGAUGUGAAAGCCCGGGGCUCAACCUCGGAACAGCAUUUUGAACUGGCAGACUAGAGUACUGUAGAGGGGGGUAGAAUU
rnacentral:rRNA from 1 species